rnacentral:rRNA from 2 species
GACCUCGGAUCAGGUAGGAAUACCCGCUGAACUUAAGCAUAUCAAUAAGCGGAGGAAAAGAAACCAACAGGGAUUGCCCUAGUAACGGCGAGUGAAGCGGCAACAGCUCAAAUUUGAAAUCUGGCUCUCGGGCCCGAGUUGUAAUUUGUAGAGGAUGCUUUUGAUGCGGUGCCUUCCGAGUUCCCUGGAACGGGACGCCAUAGAGGGUGAGAGCCCCGUCUGGUUGGAUGCCAAAUCUCUGUAAAGCUCCUUCGACGAGUCGAGUAGUUUGGGAAUGCUGCUCUAAAUGGGAGGUAUAUGUCUUCUAAAGCUAAAUACCGGCCAGAGACCGAUAGCGCACAAGUAGAGUGAUCGAAAGAUGAAAAGCACUUUGAAAAGAGAGUUAAAAAGUACGUGAAAUUGUUGAAAGGGAAGCGUUU